rnacentral:rRNA from 1 species
GACGAACGCUGGCGGCGUGCUUAACACAUGCAAGUCACGGGGGCCCAGUAGCAAUACUGGGCAACCGGCGAACGGGUGCGCAACACGUGAGCAAUCUGCCGAUCUCUGGGGGAUAGCCGGCCCAACGGCCGGGUAAUACCGCAUACGCUCAUCGGGGGACAUCCCCUGGUGAGGAAACCUCCGGGGGAGAUCGAGGAGCUCGCGACCUAUCAGCUAGUUGGCGAGGUAANGGCUCACCAAGGCUACGACGGGUAGCUGGUCUGAGAGGAUGGCCAGCCACAUUGGGACUGCGACACGGCCCAGACUCCUACGGGAGGCAGCAGUGGGGAAUAUUGCGCAAUGGACGAAAGUCUGACGCAACGACGCCGCGUGUGGGAUGAAGCUCUUCGGGGU